GGCCUACCAUGGUGGUAACGGGUAACGGGGUGUUAGGGCACGACACCGGAGAGGGAGCCUGAGAAACGGCUACCACAUCCAAGGAAGGCAGCAGGCGCGCAAAUUACCCAAUCCCGACACGGGGAGGUAGUGACAAUAAAUAACAAUACAGGGUUCUUUUGGAUCUUGUAAUUGGAAUGAGUACAAUUUAAAUCUCUUAACGAGGAACAAUUGGAGGGCAAGUCUGGUGCCAGCAGCCGCGGUAAUUCCAGCUCCAAUAGCGUAUAUUAAAGUUGUUGCAGUUAAAAAGCUCGUAGUUGAACUUCAGACCUGGCUGGGCGGUCCGCCUAACGGCGUGUACUGUCUGGCUGGGCCUUACCUCUUGGUGAGCCGGCGUGCCCUUUAUUGGUGUGCGUCGGGGAACCAGGACUUUUACCUUGAGAAAAUUAGAGUGUUCAAAGCAGGCCUGUGCCCGAAUACAUUAGCAUGGAAUAAUAAAAUAGGACGUGCGGUUCUAUUUUGUUGGUUUCUAGGAUCGAUGUAAUGAUUAAUAGGGAUAGUUGGGGGCAUUAGUAUUCAAUUGUCAGAGGUGAAAUUCUUGGAUUUAUUGAAGACUAACUACUGCGAAAGCAUUUGCCAAGGAUGUUUUCAUUAAUCAAGAACGAAAGUUAGGGGAUCGAAGACGAUCAGAUACCGUCGUAGUCUUAACCAUAAACUAUGCCGACUAGGGAUCGGAUGAUGUUAAUUUUUUAAUGACUCAUUCGGCGCCUUACG
rnacentral:rRNA from 1 species